GAAAUGCGAUAAGUAAUGUGAAUUGCAGAAUUCAGUGAAUCAUCGAAUCUUUGAACGCACAUUGCGCCCGUCAGCAUUCUGGCGGGCAUGCCUGUUCGAGCGUCAUUUCAACCCUCAGGACCCCCCUUUCGCGGGGAGGGACCUGGCGUUGGGGAUCGGCCCGCCCCCCGCGGCGGCGCCAUCCCCGAAAUCUAGUGGCGGUCUCGCUGCAGCCUCCCCUGCGUAGUAGUUACAACCUCGCAUCGGAGCGCGGCGCGGCCACGCCAUAAAACCCCCGACUUUCUGAACGUUGACCUCGGAUCAGGUAGGAAUACCCGCUGAACUUAAGC
rnacentral:misc_RNA from 1 species